GCCAAACACUCCAGGAGACCCUUGGAAAUGUGUACAACCAUGGAUGUUCAGGUCUGAACGGGACUCCAGAGAUCAUCUGGUCCAAAUAUUUACUCUAUAGAUGAUGGAAUCCAUGAGAAGAGCUGAAAUCUCAGAUCACUUUGUUCUUAUCUCCAUAAUGUACGUGUUUUAUUGUUAUCCAAGGCAGGGCUCAUCUCUCAUUCGCCAUUAUAUUCAAGAACAUAAAAGUGUUGCCCAUUCUUGUUCUAUGAUUAAAAUUAAUGAGAAGAUGUAUUGUUACAGUGUUUAAGAAA